UACGUAGGGGGCGAGCGUUGUCCGGAAUUAUUGGGCGUAACGAGCUCGUAGGCGGUUCUGGCCGUCGGGUGUGAAAUACCGGGGCUCAACUCCGGGGCGCCAUUCGAUACUCCAUUGACUAGAGUCCGGUAGGGGAAGGUGGAAUUCCUGGUGUAGCGGUGAAAUGCACAGAUAUCAGGAGGAACACCGGUGGCGAAGGCGGCCUUCUGGGCCGAUACUGACGCUGAGGAGCGAAAGCGUGGGGAGCGAACAGG
rnacentral:rRNA from 1 species